CAGUCGAACGAGAGGACUGGNNNGCUUGCUUCCUAUGAAAUCGAGUGGCAAACGGGUGAGUAACGCGUAAACAACCUGCCCUUCGGAUGGGGAUAACAGCCGGAAACGGCUGCUAAUACCGAAUACGAUCUUUUCGUCGCAUGACGGAAAGAAGAAAGGAUGGCCUCUAUACAAAGCUAUCGCCGAAGGAGGGGUUUGCGUCUGAUUAGCUGGUUGGAGGGGUAACGGCCCAACAAGGCGAUGAUCAGUAGCCGGUCUGAGAGGAUGAACGGCCACAUUGGGACUGAGACACGGCCCAGACUCCUACGGGAGGCAGCAGUGGGGAAUCUUCCGCAACGGACGAAAGUCUGACGGAGCAACGCCGCGUGAGUGAAGAAGGUCUUCGGAUUGUAAAGCUCUGUUAUACGGGACGAAAAAGACGGAUGCCAACAGUAUCCGUCCGUGACGGUACCGUAAGAGAAAGCCACGGCUAACUACGUGCCAGCAGCCGCGGUAAUACGUAGGUGGCAAGCGUUGUCCGGAAUUAUUGGGCGUAAAGGGCGCGCAGGCGGUUCGGUAAGUCUGUCUUAAAAGUGCGGGGCUUAACCCCGUGAGGGGACGGAAACUGUCGAACUUGAGUGUCGGAGAGGAAAGCGGAAUUCCUAGUGUAGCGGUGAAAUGCGUAGAUAUUAGGAGGAACACCGGUGGCGAAAGCGGCUUUCUGGACGACAACUGACGCUGAGGCGNNNAAGCGUGGGGAGC
rnacentral:rRNA from 1 species